rnacentral:rRNA from 1 species
GACGAACGCUGGCGGCAUGCCUUACACAUGCAAGUCGAACGGUAACGGGCCUUCGGGUGCCGACGAGUGGCGAACGGGUGAGUAAUGCAUCGGAACGUACCUUUCAGUGGGGGGAUAACGUAGCGAAAGUUACGCUAAUACCGCAUAUUCUGUGAGCAGGAAAGCAGGGGAUCGCAAGACCUUGCGCUGAUUGAGCGGCCGAUGUCAGAUUAGCUAGUUGGUGAGGUAAAGGCUCACCAAGGCGACGAUCUGUAGCGGGUCUGAGAGGAUGAUCCGCCACACUGGAACUGAGACACGGUCCAGACUCCUACGGGAGGCAGCAGUGGGGAAUUUUGGACAAUGGGGGCAACCCUGAUCCAGCCAUGCCGCGUGAGUGAAGAAGGCCUUCGGGUUGUAAGACUCUUUCGGCCGGGAAGAAUCGCAUGGGUUAAUACCCUGUGCGGAUGACGGUACCGGCAUAAGAAGCACCGGCUAACUACGUGCCAGCAGACCGG